AACGAACGCUGGCGGCAUGCCUAACACAUGCAAGUCGAACGAGACCUUCGGGUCUAGUGGCGCACGGGUGCGUAACGCGGGGGAACCUGCCCUUAGGUUCGGAAUAACUCCCCGAAAGGGGUGCUAAUACCGGAUAAUAUCUUCGGACCAAAGAUUUAUCGCCUUUGGAUGGGCCCGCGUUGGAUUAGCUAGUUGGUAGGGUAAAAGCCUACCAAGGCGACGAUCCAUAGCUGGUCUGAGAGGAUGAUCAGCCACACUGGGACUGAGACACGGCCCAGACUCCUACGGGAGGCAGCAGUGGGGAAUAUUGGACAACGGGCGAAAGCCUGAUCCAGCAAUGCCGCGUGAGUGAUGAAGGCCUUAGGGUUGUAAAGCUCUUUUACCCGGGAUGAUAAUGACAGUACCGGGAGAAUAAGCUCCGGCUAACUCCGUG
rnacentral:rRNA from 1 species